AAUCAUCUAACCUACAAGUAAGUGGUUUAUCUUUAUUUAUUUUUAAGUUUUUAAUUGUUUCAUAAUUUAAUUGAAGAAUGGCAGGAGAAAUAAACGAUGAAUUAUUACUACAGUGUGUGGCGAACUAUCGGCCGUUAUAUGACAAGAGCUACGAAGGGUACAAAUCAGUUCUUCAAAAAGAGAACUGUUGGAGAUCAGUGGCCGAUUCACUGAACAGAGAUGGUAAAUUGCAGAAUUAGUUGCAACAGUUAAAGCUCGCUUUAAAGCCCUUCGAGAAAAAUACCGUAGGGAAAUAAGUACAGAAGAAAAGUUGAACCGUAGCGGCGCACCUGCCAAUACAAGACCUACUUGGCCACUUAUGAGCUUUUUUAAGUUUUUAUAUAAAAGUGAUGGACAAAGUAGGCAAACAACUACAAAUCUGCCCUCAAGUUCAGGUGAAAGUAGUAGUAUCAACUCUGAAGUGGAAACUGAAAUAAUUACAUUCAUUGACCAUGACUACGAAGGUUGUUUUUCACCUGUCAGUAACAACACAUGGCAAAGCGAAAUGGAGAAUACUCCACAACGAAAAGGGAAGCAAAGUACAAAAAGAAAGUGUGACCGGUCUGAUGUCGUUGAAAUUGAUUCUGUGCUUAAGGAUGUGUCCAGUGCAUUACUUUCGUUAAAUAAUACAGACAACAAUGGUACAAAAUAUGAGAAAUUUGGCCAAUAUGUAGCUGCCGAGCUAAAAGACAUGACUACAAGUCACGCAGAUGAAGUAAUGGAUGCAUUAACACUUCAAUUAGUUUCAUUCAAAAAACGCAUUAGAGAUCAAUCCUUCAGUUAGUUAAGUAGUUUGCGAUGUAUUUAUAACAAUGUCAUUAACGAUUUAGUUCAAGUUUAUUAUGCAUACAGGGUGGAUGUUUAGUUUUAAUAUUGGAAAUGAUUUGUUAGCGAAUUUACUAAUUCAAGGUUUUCGACGAUACUAUUACAUUGUAUGGUUCAAGAUUUUCAUUAUUUUAUUUCAUUAAGCAAUACAAUCUUCAAAAUGAUAUUAGAACAUUACAGUAUUAAACGUUUCAAUUAGUUUUAUUUAUUACAUUCCACUGCCAUGGUGCUAAAGAUGCUCCUGAACCAUUGAAGUAUUCUUUUAAAUAUGUUCUCAUAGCUAAGGCAGUUUCACCAGAAUUUCUAGCACCUAACCGCAGUCGAAGGUUUGUCAGAGCCCCAUCAACUGGAGCCUCAGUCCUCCAUCUCCCAGAAAUUAAC